GCUUACGGCCAUACCACCUUAGGCUCGCCCGAUCUCGUCUGAUCUCGGAAGCUAAGCAGGGUCGGGCCUGGGUUAGUACUUGGAUGGGUGACCGCCUGGGAAUACCAGGUGCUGUAAGCA
rnacentral:rRNA from 10 species